rnacentral:lncRNA from 1 species
GCGCCAGGCGCUCCGGCCGCAAGGGAGCAGGGAGCCCUGCCAGCUGGGCCACCCGAGGGGCGUUGCGGGGCUCCGGGCGGGGUCGACCCGGGGGGCUCCGUCGGGCCCCACCAGCCUUGCGCCUUUUUCGCUCGGUCUCCUUGGCCUCCCGCUCCUGCGACGCCGCUUUCCUUUUCUCUUGCUCCCGAGCUCGGACCUCGGCCAGGGGCCCCGCCCGCCAGUUGGUCGCCUCCUGCAGCACCCUGGAGGCCCAGGGCCGGCGGGGCGGCGGCUGUGGGGAUCCCGGGCGCGGCCCACACCUGGGACAAUGAGCAGGAACCCAGGAUCUCACUGUGUCACUCAGACUGGAGUGCAGUGGCAUGAUCUCAGCUCACUCCAGCCUCCACCUCUUUGGAUCAAGCGAUCCUCCCACCUGAGCCUCCCGAGUAGCUGGGACUACAGGCACACACCACCACCACCACGCCUGGGUAAUUUUUGUAUUUUUGUUUCUGUCGAGACAGGCUUUCAUCAUGUUGCCCAGGCUGAUGCUGAACUCCUGAGCUCAAGCAAUCCACUUGCCUUGGCCUCCCAAAGUACUGGCAUUACAGGCGUGAGCCACCACACCUGGCUGAGUUUUCUUUUUCCUCUUUUUAACUUCUACCCCAGAGCCUAAUCCAGUACAUAAAGUGUAAAGGCUAAAUUAGAAAAUCUAUAUAAAAAUGCUUUGUAAACCAUAAUACAUUUACAAGUAAGUAGAAUAUGACAUGUCAUUUUAAAUUUAAUGGAAUUAGACUCCUUAUUUUUGUUUAAGAUUAUCCUGAUUAGUCAGAAUUGGCUCCCUUGCCUGGGAGACCAACUGCGAAUCAUUUUAGUACUUUGGUCGGUUUUCUUUUUGAAAACCUGAAAGAAACAACCUCUCUGUGAGCAGAGAAACGGUGUGGCAAAGAAUUACUCUGGGCAUGUAAUCCAAAGCAAAGUGAACCUGCAGUCCUUUCGUAACUACAGUAGCAGAUGAUAAAAACCAAGAUGGAAAGAGUUACUCUGCCUGAAAGAAGACACAUGGUUAAAAACUGUGGAGAGGGAAGUGUAUGGGAGGGGUUACAGAGCGCUAGAAAAAGACUCCUGAGAGUGAGGGUGGGUGCAAACAUGUAGCAGGCAACCCGCAGCAUCUGUGGGAGGGUGACAGGGCCCUGCCACAAUUGGUCAAUGCCUGCUCGCCAAGAAUGAGCUAUGCCAAAACCCCUGCUUAGAGUCGCAGAGCGGGCCAUGACCUAAAAUUGUCCAGGGACACAUCGGCCUCUAACACUGCAAGAUUUCCUCUUUCAAGCAAACCUCAAUUCUCGGUCUUAUUAAGGGAAUGUGACUUCACUGGACGCAGUAUAAAGAUCUUCAGAUGUCCUCCUGCCGGGGAUUGCAGGGAUCACAGAAAGACCAUCGAGGUCCAGGAGCUACCUGCAAGCGGAGAUCCCUCUGGACGCCCCGUGCCUCACCCAGCAAAGCCGGCUCACAACCCUGCGCUCUCAAACCUCUAAAAGGGCUUGAGGUGCCAAUAGGAAAGGAGGCCCGAGAUUGCCACGGCAUACGUGGGCCCCAAGGAGGGAGCCAGGAGUCACUGCCUGCUUGGGCUAAGGGUACCGCGUACGGAAAGGCGGCGGGGACGCGGCCCAGUUCCAGGAGAUGCGCCCAACGAAGAAGCGGAGGAACAGGGUCACGGGAUAGGGCAGACACCCGGCUGCUUUUUGUUUGCUAGACACCAGCGCCAGCCCCUGCCCGGCCCUCCCGGUCUCCUAAGGGUUGGGGGGGUGUCUUAGGCUCCACAGCGCCCCCGACCGCCCUCCUGCACUCCUCACCGUCUCCAUUGCAAGAGGCGCCCGGCUUGGUUUCCUCGCUUUAGGAAACUCUCUUGGGGCAGGCCCCGCCCCACAUCCGGUGCGGCGACGCCACUUCCGCCCACGUCAUGGCAGUCGCCAGACUGGGGCGGAAGGCAAGGAACCCACCCUUCCGGCGGUGGCGGGCCUCGGUAACCGCCCUCCCCCGGGUCCUCGCGGACCGCACGGAUCCGGCUGACGGCGAGGGUCAUGGGACGGAGCCGC